rnacentral:rRNA from 1 species
GAUGAACGCUGGCGGCGUGCCUAAUACAUGCAAGUCGAGCGAACAGAUAAGGUGCUUGCUCCUUUGACGUUAGCGGCGGACGGGUGAGUAACACGUGGAUAACCUACCUAUAAGACUGGGAUAACUUCGGGAAACCGGAGCUAAUACCGGAUAACAUAUUGAACCGCAUGGUUCAAUAGUGAAAGGCGGCUUUGCUGUCACUUAUAGAUGGAUCCGCGCCGUAUUAGCUAGUUGGUAAGGUAACGGCUUACCAAGGCAACGAUACGUAGCCGACCUGAGAGGGUGAUCGGCCACACUGGAACUGAGACACGGUCCAGACUCCUACGGGAGGCAGCAGUAGGGAAUCUUCCGCAAUGGGCGAAAGCCUGACGGAGCAACGCCGCGUGAGUGAUGAAGGUCUUCGGAUCGUAAAACUCUGUUAUCAGGGAAGAACAAAUGUGUAAGUAACUGUGCACAUCUUGACGGUACCUGAUCAGAAAGCCACGGCUAACUACGUG